rnacentral:rRNA from 1 species
CCCAGACUCCUACGGGAGGCAGCAGUGGGGGAUAUUGCACAAUGGGGGGAACCCUGAUGUAGCGACGCCGCGUGGGUGAAGGAGCGUUUCGGCGCGUAAAGCCCUAUCGGCAGGGAAGAAGGAGGACGGUACCUGACUAAGAAGCCCCGGCUAACUACGUGCCAGCAGCCGCGGUAAUACGUAGGGGGCAAGCGUUAUCCGGAUUUACUGGGUGUAAAGGGGGCGCAGACGGCAGCGCAAGCCAGGAGUGAAAGCCCGGGGCCCAACCCCGGGACUGCUCUUGGAACUGCGCGGCUGGAGUGCAGGAGGGGCAGGCGGAAUUCCUGGUGUAGCGGUGAAAUGCGUAGAUAUCAGGAGGAACACCGGUGGCGAAGGCGGCCUGCUGGACUGCGACUGACGUUGAGGCCCGAAAGCGUGGGGAGCAAACAGGAUUAGAUACCCUAGUAU